GACGAACGCUGGCGGCGUGCUUAACACAUGCAAGUCGAACGGAAAGGCCCUGCUUUUGUGGGGUGCUCGAGUGGCGAACGGGUGAGUAACACGUGAGUAACCUGCCCUUGACUUUGGGAUAACUUCAGGAAACUGGGGCUAAUACCGGAUAGGAGCUCCUGCUGCAUGGUGGGGGUUGGAAAGUUUCGGCGGUUGGGGAUGGACUCGCGGCUUAUCAGCUUGUUGGUGGGGUAGUGGCUUACCAAGGCUUUGACGGGUAGCCGGCCUGAGAGGGUGACCGGCCAAUUGGGGAAGGAGAGCCGCCCAAGCUCCGUCGGGGGGGAAGAGGGGGGGAUUAUUGAAAAGGGGGGGGAAGCCUGAUGCAGAAACCCCGGGGGGGGGAUGCGGCCCUUGGGUUUGAAACCCGUUUUCCCCGGGGACGAAGGGUGAGGGAGGGGAAGGGGAAAAGAAGCACCGGAAACCUACGU
rnacentral:rRNA from 1 species